AUACUGCUCUAUAUUCAGCUAACACUUCAUUCUGAAGCAUAUGUAUAUUGAGUUCUUCACCAGGCUAUUAGUCUCACAAUGCCUAAGUAAAAUAAUAAAAUGCA